GUGGGGAAUAUUGGACAAUGGGCGAAAGCCUGAUCCAGCAAUGCCGCGUGAGUGAUGAAGGCCCUAGGGUUGUAAAGCUCUUUUACCCGGGAUGAUAAUGACAGUACCGGGAGAAUAAGCUCCGGCUAACUUCGUGCCAGCAGCCGCGGUAAUACGAGGGGAGCUAGCGUUGUUCGGAAUUACUGGGCGUAAAGCGCGCGUAGGCGGUUUUUUAAGUCAGAGGUGAAAGCCCGGGGCUCAACCCCGGAAUUGCCUGUGAAACUGGAAAACUAGAAUCUUGGAGAGGUCAGUGGAAUUCCGAGUGUAGAGGUGAAAUUCGUAGAUAUUCGGAAGAACACCAGUGGCGAAGGCGACUGACUGGACAAGUAUUGACGCUGAGGUGCGAAAGCGUGGGGAGCAAACAGGAUUAGAUACCCCGGUAGUCC
rnacentral:rRNA from 1 species